CUCUGCCCUUGACACGACCUCCCACUCCACACAAUACCAAACUGCUGCAAGGAAACGGAUAACACACCUCCUUGACCAAGCUAGACUAUUUGACUGCUGGAGAACCACGCACCCACAAGAUAGAGAUUACUCCUUCUACUCCUCAGCCUCACGCUCAUAUUCCAGGAUAGACAUGAUGUUCCUUCCCCAAGAUCACCUGUAUCUGGCCAUCUCCUGCUCCUACGGCCCAAUCACCUAGUCGGAUCAUGCACCUCUAUCUCUGGCCAUACAGAUCCCUACGCUCCCACUAACGUCCUUUCAUUGGAAACUUAAUGAUUUCCUCCUCAAUGACCCCACAAUCACAACACGUGUGACAACUGCACUUACCAACUACUUCCAAGAAAACACGCUACCAACCAUCUCCCCCAUGACCACUUGGGAAGCGCACAAAUGCGUCAUAAGGGGAGAAUUACUAGCAAUAGCGGCCACUCUCAAAAAUAGGAGAACACAGAGGAUAGACACACUCACACGGGAAAUCAGAGCCCUUGAACACACU